rnacentral:rRNA from 2 species
CUGAUGGAGCACGCCGCGUGAGUGAUGAAGGUUUUCGGAUCGUAAAACUCUGUUGUUAAAGAAGAACAAGUGUUAGAGUAACUGUUAACACUUUGACGGUAUUUAACCAGAAAGCCACGGCUAACUACGUGCCAGCAGCCGCGGUAAUACGUAGGUGGCAAGCGUUGUCCGGAUUUAUUGGGCGUAAAGCGAGCGCAGGCGGUUUUGUAAGUCUGCUGUGAAAGCCCUCAGCUCAACUGAGGAAGUGCAGUGGAAACUACAAAACUUGAGUACAGAAGAGGAAAGUGGAACUCCAUGUGUAGCGGUGAAAUGCGUAGAUAUAUGGAAGAACACCAGUGGCGAAGGCGGCUUUCUGGUCUGUUACUGACGCUGAGGCUCGAAAGCAUGGGUAGCGAACAGGAUUAGAUACCCUGGUAGUCCAUGCCGUAAACGAUGAAUACUAGGUGUUGGAGGGUUUCCGCCCUUCAGUGCCGCAGCUAACGCAUUAAGUAUUCCGCCUGGGGAGUACGACCGCAAGGUUGAAACUCAAAGGAAUUGACGGGGGCCCGCACAAGUGGUGGAGCAUGUGGUUUAAUUCGAUGCUACGCGAAGAACCUUACCAGCUCUUGACAUCUUCUGCCAACCCAAGAGAUUGGGCGUUCCCUUCGGGGACAGAAUGACAGGUGGUGCAUGGUUGUCGUCAGCUCGUGUCGUGAGAUGUUGGGUUAAGUCCCGCAACGAGCGCAACCCUUAUUAUUAGUUGCCAGCAUUUAGUUGGGCACUCUAGUGAGACUGCCGGUGAUAAACCGGAGGAAGGUGGGGACGACGUCAAAUCAUCAUGCCCCUUAUGAGCUGGGCUACACACGUGCUACAAUGGAUGGUACAACGAGUCGCGAAACCGCGAGGUCAAGCUAAUCUCUUAAAGCCAUUCUCAGUUCGGAUUGCAGGCUGCAACUCGCC